AUCGCUCGAUCCAACUCCUCCCUCUCCCUCGGUCUCACCUCUCCUAUCGCUCGAUCUCGCUCGGUCCUCUCGUUCGCCGCCCGCCACCGUCCCCAGCCGCCCUGCUCCGCUGUUGCUCCCUCCGCCUGCCUCGCCCCUGAUCCCCCAAGCGAGCCUCCGUCCUCCUCUCCAACCCCGACCUCCACUCCACCGCGCACCGCCGGCGACGACUCCUCUCCCAGGCCGCGGAUCCACCCGAGCAGCCGAGGCAGCGGUCAGAUCCGCCCGCCCUCCUUCACUCCCUAUUCGCGCUGGAAACCCUAGCCACCCGACCAUGCCGAACGACCGCAGGCACGAGGAAUCUGCUGCUCCAGGGACGCCGCCCGCCACCGCCGCCGCCGCGAAUCCCCGAGGACGCCGCCGCCACCGCCGCGGAUCCCCAAGGGCGUGGUCGCUUUGCCCUGAUUGGAGGAGACCGUGCUUGCCUUGCCUUGUUUGGAGGACGAACACAGGAAAGUGGAAGGAGUGAUGAAGAACUAAAACAAAGUUACAGUGGGCGUUUUUAUAGGAACAAAACUGAAGAAUUUGACAUUAACAUAAUUUUAGUACUAAAUCAGGUGUCCCUGGUUUUGUUAGCAUCAGGACAUGUUGACCUAAUUGUCCAUGGUUACACUCAUCUUCAAACGGCACAACUUGUUUUGGUGCACACCUUCUCUUACCAUAUGAUGAAAACAGAACGACAGCGCCGACGUGGAUGACUCGGAGCUUAACCUUGUCAAGGGCCGCGAGCAGCUGUGACUUUCUUUUCCACGGGAAGAUGGCCAAGGGCGCCAUCAGCCACUUUGUCGUCGCUGUCGAAGAGUCCGAGCUCGUGUCCGCAUCGGUUGCAUUGGUGCCAAUCAGGGGUAAUGACUUUUCUGUGCUGGAUCAACAUGCAGAACUUGCGCCCACCUUGAAGCCAUUAAUCCAGGGAAGUCAAUUUCAGUAUAUUCAGGACAUAGCCAGUAGCUUAGCAAUUUCCACGACUAUGUUUUGUUUAAAAUAAAGUUGUAUGCAGAAUAUGCAUGAUGCUCUCUUCUAUCAAAGUAUAUCCAUGUGUCUAUUUUGUCAUCCAGUUGCAAUGCACGGGAACCUUCGAUUUGAUUCAGUUUUAUCUUCUACUGCAGAUAGGGAAAUAUGGACAUUGGAUAUCCAUUUCUUAGGUGUCAAUCUGGUGCUUAGGCUGUAUAAUAGUACAUGGCAGAGUUCUUCCAGCUACUAAUUCAGGUUUGGAGAUGGUGGCCUGUGAGGAGGAUUUCAGGGGAGAUCGUGUGUGAAUAUAACAAGAGGCUGAGAUUUGACCUGCACUGUAUGAGAAAAGCAGGUUCAGGAGCUCCAAGCUAACAAUUGCCAGAGCUUUCAAAAGAUAUUUUUUACAAUUAAAGUGAAGAUACUGUGAUGGUGUCAUUUUUUUUAAACAUCGAAGAGGAAUUUCAGGAAGGCACCCCUUUCUUCUUCAGAGGCCAACGUAUUUGGGAAGCAGUCAUUAGGGAACUUUUAUCAAGAAGUAGCCUUCCUACAAAAAAAAGGGUAGUUGAUUCUUUAGAAGUAUUUGGAGCAACCAAAAUUGAAGUGAGAACACGAUACUUCACUGGUGUGUCCAUACAUAUGUCUAUAUAUACGGUGGAACUCCAAGUGAGUACGAAUCAAAUGAAUGAUGCCCCAAGAGCUCAGGUGCAUUUCAAAAUGUUCUAUUCCUCCCACAUUCAGCCAACUGGAGUAUCCUGCUCUCCCUUCUAGAGGUUCUACAGUUCAAUCGCUAUUUUACAAAUCAGGUGCUUGCAUUCUGUUGUAUCAAGAUGUGUAAAUAGUUAGUAAGUUGUAUGCUGAUUACCAAGUUCAUUGACUUAUGAAGGAACUCUAACUCGCGAAAGUCUACAUGGAAUGAGUUCUGUAGUUCUCAUAUAUUUUUUACUAAAAGAAAAAAGAAUUUACUUGGUUCAUCUUUUUGUUCUGUAGUAAUCGAUCAUAUCAUAUAGUUUUGAAGGAUCUGACAUUUUAAGUUGUCUAUAAGUAUGCAUGCUUGGGACAAGGGUGGAUGAAAUAUCAAUUGGGAUUAGUAGGGUGUAUUUUUACUUGGUGUGUCCACGCGUAUGUUUGUUACUGAUCAUACCAAUAUAUAUCUUCUAGAACUUAUGUUGAGUUGUAUGUUACUCUGUGUUGUGUACAAUGGAUUCUUUCUUGCCUAUUUUCCCUGUCAUGACAAGGUUUCAAUAGCGUAUCUCUCGUAGCAACGCACAGGCGAAGGAGGCAGUUGUCACCGACGGCGGGGCCGGAUGUGUCGGACGCGCGCACUCGCCCGCAGUCAACGCAGACAUACUUAGCGACCGUCCAUGGCGACCAGUGGCUCCGGGGGGUGGCUACGGGGUUGGGUGGUUCAAGCGGCCACUUCUGCAGCUACAUGGGAUUUCUUCAGGACCAUCAGUAGAAUUGUUCAUGGAAGCGUACCGAGCAGGCCAUAUAUUCAACAAACCUCUGUAACAAUGCACUCUGUCUUUUCUUGAACACGCACCAGGUACAUCUCAAAACCAUUUUCUGUAAUCGUGGAACCAAGUUUGGAGCUGAAAUGUUUCCAGUUAUCCAGAGACAAAAAAGGGCAGAAUUCAGUGUACAUGCUUGUAACUAUGAGCCUUCUUCUGUAUAAAGAUGUACACUACACACACAUACUAUACAAUUUAUUAGAAGACAAUUCUUCUACUCA